UCAGCGCGUUGCGGUUCUGCCGCCUCGCGUCCGCCGGGGGCACCCAAACUCGAAUUUAUAUCGUGUAUCUCUGAGGGGCGAAAGCCCGUAAAACAAAUGAAUCAAAACUUUCAACAACGGAUCUCUUGGCUCUGGCAUCGAUGAAGAACGCAGCGAAAUGCGAUAAGUAAUGUGAAUUGCAGAAUUCAGUGAAUCAUCGAAUCUUUGAACGCACAUUGCGCCCGCCGGCACUCCGGCGGGCAUGCCUGUCCGAGCGUCAUUUCAACCCUCGGGCCCACCCCUCGCGGGGAACGGGCCCGGCGUUGGGGACCGGAGGCCGCCCCGGCGACACCCGCCCCCUAAAUUCAGUGGCGGUCGCGCCGCAGCCUCCCCUGCGUAGUAGCACACCUCGCACCGGAGAGCGGCACGGCCACGCCUCGAAACCCCCCAAUUUUUCAGGUUGACCUCGGA
rnacentral:rRNA from 1 species